AUUGAACGCUGGCGGCAGGCUUAACACAUGCAAGUCGAGCGGGGAAGAGUAGCUUGCUACUUGACCUAGCGGCGGACGGGUGAGUAAUGCUUAGGAAUCUGCCUAUUAGUGGGGGACAACAUCUCGAAAGGGAUGCUAAUACCGCAUACGUCCUACGGGAGAAAGCAGGGGACCUUCGGGCCUUGCGCUAAUAGAUGAGCCUAAGUCGGAUUAGCUAGUUGGUGGGGUAAAGGCCUACCAAGGCGACGAUCUGUAGCGGGUCUGAGAGGAUGAUCCGCCACACUGGGACUGAGACACGGCCCAGACUCCUACGGGAGGCAGCAGUGGGGAAUAUUGGACAAUGGGGGGAACCCUGAUCCAGCCAUGCCGCGUGUGGGAAGAAGGCCUUUUGGUUGUAAAGCACUUUAAGCGAGGAGGAGGCUACCGAGAUUAAUACUCUUGGAUAGUGGACGUUACUCGCAGAAUAAGCACCGGCUAACUCUGUG
rnacentral:rRNA from 1 species